UAAUUUUUUUACUCAACUGCGUUUGGUGUGAACUUAGCCUACCUCAUAUGUUACUUCGGGCCUGGUAAUAUGGCUUUGCUUUAACUUCCCCUUUUAUUGCAAUGCGUUUGUCUAACAUUCUGCGUCAAUAUCGAAUGUGACUUAAAUUAUAGUUUUAUUUUGUACAGCAAAAAAUCUAGAUAUUAGCCAUUACUUAAAAAAAAGUCCAUCCAUUCUGAACUGGCAGAAAUUUUGACAUUUACUGAAAUAACUUGGAUGUCGAAUUUUUUCAUACAGCAAAUAUGGCAGUCAAGAAUAGAUGGACUAACAGGGCUUUUCUAAGGAAAUACAAAGGAUCACAAAGAAGAGAUAGCAUUUCUAAUUGGUUUCGAUUCCUUCCACGUUUAUUGUUAACGGUGUUCUUGAUAUUCUAUUAUAAGUCGAGUGUCUCGCCCCACCUGUCUUCUUGCGGACCAAAAAUUUAGCAAUGAAACGAUUCCAGGUGAAAUCAAAUUCAAACAUUUUAAUUUAAUAAUUUAAAAUGUUUGAAUUAAUAGAAAAAAUAUUACUAUCUGUGUUGUCUUGGGAGAUGAAAUGGUACUCUAUAUUUGAAUCGUACAGUUAAACUUUGUAGCAGCGAAUGCUGACAUUUAUCUCCACAAGAGGCGCUGAAAACAGUCGCACAAUAGUCAGAGUUGAAAAUUGUUGCACGCUAGGUGCCCGCAGUAUCGAGAAGUUCAAGGAAGUGAAUUCAAUUUACUCAAUCUUUCCUAUCUUUGUAAUCUGCCUUGUUGUCUCAAUCCUCUCGAAAAAAUUUUAUUUUAGAAACUUCACUAAGGCUUCAGGAAGUUGGACGAAAGAAAAUGUAAAAAAAAAAAAAAAGAAAAUUUACAGCAAACACUAGUGCCCCCUGGAUUCUGGGGGGCAAUAGCAUUCUUGGGCGCUAGAGGCCCCAAGAAUUCUGGGGAGCAAUACUGCAAUAGCUUUUACCUUAUCGGGAAUUCGGGACCUAAGUUAUUGCAUUGAAUUGAAUCAGACCCCGAACACAUGUCAGAGCUCAGUUAUUCUAAAGUUCAAUUUCAAUGGUUUCAACUUGCUGCUGGACAGAAGCUUGAAAGACCAUGGAAUGCUGAUCUGUUGUCUGCAGUUAAUAAUCCAUCUGACCAGGCUUAAAAUAGGAAAAAUCAUGUAAAGGGAAAAACCAAUAUGAAGAACUUAAGAAAGAAAAUAUGCUAGAAACUCCUGUAAAAGUAUUCUUGAUGAAAAAUCGGAAAUUCCUGGAGAUCAACAUCUGUGGAUAAAUUUAGGUAAUCAAGUUAUUGAAAAAUUAUCUAAGAAGAAGCAAUCAAUCAAGGAUGCAAGUUGAAUGAUAAACCAUAGUUUGUUGCAUUAAUAUAAAAUUAGGAUGGAAUGUGAACAAGAAAGACAUUUAAAAUGUUUGCAGCAGAUGUUUGUGGUCAGGUUACAAAGUUUAUUUACCCAUUGUUUAAACACUGUCAUUUUGCUGUUGAUUACCACACAUGUAUUAUUCAUCACUGUAGAUGCUGACAUAUCUAUCUACUACAUCAACUAGCUGCUUUGUAUGGAAGGAGAUGAAAAAUGUUCUGUUACGAAGGCGUUGCGACCUAAAAUGCUUUUUUUUGCAUUUUGUUAAUCUGAACGUAAAUUCGAAUUUUGGCAAAAUUAAGUUUAUUAAUUUAACAGAAAAAUUUUUUCUAUCUUGGGGGGUUAAAGUGCACAUCUGGGGUAUCUUCUUUUCUGUGGCCACUUUUCCCCUUGACCGGUCGAUCUCCCUGGCGGAUUAAUUCAGUGCGAUAUGUGUGUAUUGUUCCAAUAACAAAUUAAAAACUUGA
rnacentral:lncRNA from 1 species